rnacentral:rRNA from 1 species
AUUGAACGCUGGCGGCAUGCCUUACACAUGCAAGUCGAACGGUAACAGGUCUUCGGAUGCUGACGAGUGGCGAACGGGUGAGUAAUGCAUCGGAACGUGCCCAGUAGUGGGGGAUAGCCCGGCGAAAGCCGGAUUAAUACCGCAUACGACCUGAGGGUGAAAGGGGGGGAUCGCAAGACCUCUCGCUAUUGGAGCGGCCGAUGUCAGAUUAGCUAGUUGGUGGGGUAAAGGCCUACCAAGGCAACGAUCUGUAGUUGGUCUGAGAGGACGACCAGCAACACUGGGACUGAGACACGGCCCGGACUCCUACGGGAGGCAGCAGUGGGGAAUUUUGGACAAUGGGCGCAAGCCUGAUCCAGCAAUGCCGCGUGCAGGAAGAAGGCCUUCGGGUUGUAAACUGCUUUUGUCAGGGAAGAAAUCUUCUGGGUUAAUACCUCGGGAGGAUGACGGUACCUGAAGAAUAAGCACCGGCUAACUACGUGCCAGCCGCCGCAGUAAAAC